rnacentral:rRNA from 1 species
ACGGAAGGCAGCAGUGGGGAAUAUUGCACAAUGGGGGAAACCCUGAUGCAGCGACGCCGCGUGAGUGAAGAAGUAUUUCGGUAUGUAAAGCUCUAUCAGCAGGGAAGAAAAUGACGGUACCUGACUAAGAAGCCCCGGCUAACUACGUGCCAGCAGCCGCGGUAAUACGUAGGGGGCAAGCGUUAUCCGGAUUUACUGGGUGUAAAGGGAGCGCAGACGGCAGUGCAAGUCUGAAGUGAAAUGCGGGGGCUCAACCCCUGAACUGCUUUGGAAACUGCAUAGCUAGAGUGCCGGAGAGGUAAGUGGAAUUCCUAGUGUAGCGGUGAAAUGCGUAGAUAUUAGGAGGAACACCAGUGGCGAAGGCGGCUUACUGGACGGUAACUGACGUUGAGGCUCGAAAGCGUGGGGAGCAAACAGGAUUAGAUACCCUGGUA